AUAGAGAGAGAGAGAGAUAAAUUCAAAUGUUUAAAGUAAUUAUUGUGUUUUUGUAUGCAUAAAUGUGGGCCAAUCAUAAUUAAAUAAAAAUUUAAAUAAUUAAAUAAAUAAACAAGGGUAUUUUAAUAAUUUGAUAAAUAUCUUCCACAAAUAGUCCAUGUAAUCACGCUAACAUUCACUUGUAACCUAAUUUCUUUUUUUAUAUACAACAGGUCAUCGUCUUCCACAAAUCGUCUUCAUCCCUCCAUUCACAAUCGAGCUAGCCUUCCCUCCCUGAUACUUCCGAUCAUUGUGGCCAUUAUCUGCUUCUAAUUAGUCGAUGGUCCCAAUCGUUGCUUCCCCAGUUGUCGCGCAAACACACACACGCAUAUCAUUGCGCCCAAGAAUUCUUCAUCUGGGUUGGCGUGGAAACUCUCAUUGAUUGUGAUCUUAAGUCAAGAAUCCCAACAGAAGGUUUUGUAAAAUGCGAAGUUUCAUCUGAUAUUUUCUCUGAUCUCAUUGAUUUUGAACGCCAAUUCAAUGGAAUUGAGAGUUGGAAUCAGAAACAGUUUCUCUGAAUUUCUCCUCUAACUUGAUUAGAACCAAACCCCUAAACUUUCCCUUUUUAUUUCAUCCCCAAAAGUUGAAGAAGAAUCUUGAAUUACUGAUUUCACAGCAGCAGAAUCCAAACUUUUAGAACCAAUAUUUUUUUUUUUAUUGUUUUGCGUUUACUUAAUUGCUCAAAAACAAAGUUUUUGUCAUCAAUAACAACCAUGGAUUCCCUUAUAAAAUUCUGAUUUAGCUUCUUCCUAUCAGAUUUAGCUUCUUCUUAUCCGAUUUAGCUUCUUCCUAUCGCAUGGACCCUUAAUUUGCAAAGGUUUGAUCAUCUACAUAGCUUGUCUUUUUCUGAUUCUUUUGACAGGAAAUGAUUACUUUGCUUUUCAUUCAAAUUUUUUUUCCUGAUUUAACACUUCAUUUAUGUGGACAGUGCAGGAUCUUGACAAUGUUGAAUUCUGAAAAGGUAUCAAGUAUGUUUAUGUAGAUGAUUCAAUGAAUGAUAUAUUGGUGAGAUUCCAAUUCUAUUGGAAUGGAAUGACGAAUUCCAAUUCUGUUGGAAUCACAGAAGUUGAUGCUUGAAGAACAGACCACAAAAUUGAAAUGGACCACAUUAUUCUUUUAGAAUGUAUUAGUCAUUGUUAGAUUUUAAUGUUUUCUUUCCCGUUUUGAUUGUUAUUAAGUUUUAUUCUUUAACAAUAAAUGUAAUUUUUAACAAUUGUUAUCCGUAUUCUAUAAGAAAUAUUGUAUUUUUUGUUUUUA